CCCGGGGCCGACCGGCGGGUAGGGUAACGGUACGUACGUGCACUACCUAUCAGAGGGGAGAACCGGCGAAGUCGGCUAAUACCGCAUGAAGCAGGGGCCCCGCAUGGGGAGUAUUUGCUAAAGAUUCAUCGCUGAUAGAUAGGCAUGCGUUCCAUUAGGCAGUUGGCGGGGUAACGGCCCACCAAACCGACGAUGGAUAGGGGUUCUGAGAGGAAGGUCCCCCACAUUGGUACUGAGACACGGACCAA
rnacentral:rRNA from 1 species